ACAAUUAAAAUCAGAACUCUUUCCUCUCUUUCUCACUACACUACAAAUAAUAAUUCAUACCUACUUUAAUCAAGCAAAUAUGAGGAAUAUUCAACAUCACGGCAGGGCUACGACAGUUCUUCCUCAAGAAGGAGUAAGCCACAUCUAUCACCAACUGUUUUGCAUACGUUGAGUUCCGUUUCGCCUUCACGUGACCAUGCCCGACUAUAUAAGCCACCUCAGCAUCUUUCGCCUCAACCAAAUCAAACAACUCUUCCUUCACUUGCGGCUGUCUGAACGUUGUAUCCAUCGGUCUGAACUGAAAUCUCCUCCUCAUGCUCAGCUUCGGAAGCUCUUGCUCGUACUCCGCUUUCAGUCUCUUCAGCACCGGCGACUUGCUAUUACUCACAGUCGUCUGAGACCUCGAGCUGCUGCUUCCCGCUAUGUUAGCGUCUGAUAUGGACCGGGACAGCCUUGUUCCGAACUUGUUUGAGGUUUUCACAACCGCAAGCCGACCGUCAUGUGCAGAACGGUCUCUGUUUGAUCCCGAGCCUUCGGAUUCCAGCUGGAUAAACUCGCAAUGCUAUCCACGAGCUCGUCUUCAAAGUCGUCUCCGUCUUUGUUCACGUCUUUGUAUCCCGUUCGGAUUAUGCAACGGUACAUCCUGUACGUUUUGGGACCGACACGGCCUAUAAGGUAUCGUUCCUUCUGCGGUAUGUAAGGGAUAGGGACGGUUUUGGAGCAGAUAAAGACAACCACUUGGUAGAACGCUGGUAAGUUGGUGAGGAAGUGAGUGAAUGUGGCUGGGACACCGCUUGCUAGCUCGGUGUAGAUUAGACCUAUCCCAGGGACUUUGACGAUCCCUAGGCUCGGGCCUCGGGUGAGGAUUGUAUUCAUGGGGACUUUGUUGUGUUGGUCGUAUAGGUACUUUCUUCGGUUUCCGUAGUGCCAGACAUAUGUGGUGAAAGUGAAGAGUAGAGAAAGGAGGAUAGUGAUCCAUCCCCCGUGUGGGAUCUUGGUCCAAGAAGAUGCUACAAAGACGAGUUCGAUGGUCCCAAAUAGGAUGGUGAAGAGAAUAGAGAAGACGAGAUGACGAUUCCAAACAAAGUUUAUGAUUAGAGGCAUCAGCCAGGUCGUCACAAACGCCAGACUCAUGCAAGCAAGUCCUGAUGAAAACCAUAUGGAGGAAGUUUGCGUACCAAAAGCGAAAGCUAUGUGUCUAGUGUCUCGGAAACCGAUGGUGACGGUGAGUGUGAGGACCAUGAGGAGCC